rnacentral:rRNA from 1 species
UACGGAGGAUGCGAGCGUUAUCCGGAUUUAUUGGGUUUAAAGGGUGCGUAGGCGGAUGAAUAAGUCAGUGGUGAAAGGCUGCAGCUUAACUGUAGACUUGCCGUUGAUACUGUUUAUCUUGAGUGUGGUCAAGGCAGGCGGAAUGUGUAAUGUAGCGGUGAAAUGCUUAGAUAUUACACAGAACACCGAUUGCGAAGGCAGCUUGCUGGGCCAUUACUGACGCUGAUGCACGAAAGCGUGGGGAGCGAACA